UCGUCUCUACAUCGCGGGCGAGCGGGAGGAGGAAGAAGGAGCCAGGCCAGGCGGGCCCCAUCUCCACGCGGCCCCACCUGUCGGCGGGCAGGCGUUGACCCCGCCUGCCUAGCUGGAUAAGUGAUGGGCCCCACAGCCCGUGGGACCCGCACGUCAGCGACCCCACGCCCGGCCCCGCCACUGUCCACGUGGAUAAGUGGAAGCGUACUUCGCAGAAGUACGUUUUCGCCUUCAGAAAGCGUGUUUCUCUUCUGCUCCAGUCGUAAGUGCGCUUUCAUAGUUUGAAAACUAUUUUCUUCUUAGGCGCCUUCUGUUUUCUCACUCAGGGGCCUGUUUGUAGAGAUUCUUUUACAAAUCGGUCCCUGAACUUCGUCGGGCUAUAUCUUUUUACUCCCAACUCCAAAUGAGGUGAUUCCAAAGCCCAUUUCUUUGUCUCGUCGAGCCCGUUCUGUUGGUUUCAUUUUCACUAUGGUUUGACACUGUGAAAAUGACCCUUUUUCCCUUGCCCGUAAACAGCCCCUCCGAGAGAGAACUGUUUCUGGCAAAUCUUUCCGCGAGCUUCUCGCACUUCUUCCCUGUGUUUUCUUCAUCCCCAGGCAAGCCACAAUACCCACUUGCAUGAUAGUCAUGCAGUAGCCAUGGUUUUCAACUUGAAUAUUUAUUAAAUGAUUGCUUGUUUAAAAUAUGGUUAUCGUUGUUUUGGUAAUGCUUCUGGGUUAGUGCUUACUUGCUUGAUAUGUUGUUAUGCACCUGGUUAUCAUGCCCUGCUAGUUGCUAGUAUUACUUUCAUAUUUCCAUGCUUGAUAGUAGUACAUGUUGGGUUGGUCAUGUUCUUCGGUGCAUGAUUAACGUCGGUUAUCGAGUACUGUUAAUAUGCGUUCUUCCUUUGCUGUUAGUUGGUUAAGUGUUACUCGGUAAUGUUAUUGAUGAGUUCUUGCAUGGUAUUUAUGGUUGAUGCUAGUGGUCAUGUUUUACUAUGAGUAGUGUUGCACUUGUAAUAGUUAUGCUCGUCAUUAUGCCAUGUUCAGUUGGAGAUUAUUCAUAGUUGAUAUGGUGGAUCGUUAUGUUGUACCCUCAUGCUUAUGUUGAUCUCAUGCUCAUGCUUUGUAUAUGCAUCAUGUUAUUUUAUCAUGGCUCAGCAUAUUGCAUUCAAGUUUAACCAGAUUAAGUUCAACUUGAACAACUGUUGGCUGAGUCAUGGUGCCACCAUAUCGAAACUGACCAGUGCAACCACGCUUACCUUAUGGGAAGGUCCUAACUGGGUCUAUUGUCGUGCCUCUCGCCGGUGCCUCCAACGAGGGAAGGUUAUGGGCGCGCGCUACCCUGAUCAGGUAGGCGGACAUAACCUUGUGUGCCCGUUGUUGUUAUUAUGGAUCCGGUCCCCGUGAGGGACGUUUUGGCCACGACAGUGGUCGUUGUGUCUUUGGUAGAUACGGGGCCACCCAGGACUAGCCCAGUUGGGAGUGGGUCGGAGUGGCCGGGAGAGUGUCAUGGCAAUAGAUCGGUUUUGUCGGAAUGCCAUUGGUCCACCCGAAUGGGAGUGCGAGGCCAUGGGUUCCGUGGUGUGGGUACAGUGUACUAACCUCUGCAGAGUGUAUAUUAAAUCUAUCGAUAGCCGCGCCCGCGGAUAAGGGCCCAGUUCGUGUCGGUCACACCGUGAGUCAACAGUAUUAAUAAUAACUUGAUUAAUGACAACCCCGGUUCGAUGAUGAGAUAAGUUGGUUGUGAUCGCCGGAAAGAUCACCGUUUGAGACCAAGUGUUGGUCAUGGUUGUGAUCGCCGAAAUGAUCACCGUGGUAUCGAGGAUACCGAGUUGUUGGAUAUUCGUGAUGUUGUGCGAGAAUCAUGGGUAAAGAUCAAGCUCCUUGUGGUCAUUUAAUGAUUACUACGGUAUUGUUGAUACCAAGCUUGAUUUGAUCCUGAGAUGAUUGUGUGAUGUCCGAGGUUGGUAAGUGAUGCAUGUGAUGGUUACGUAGUAAGCCGAGCAGAAUAAAUAGUGCAUAUAGUGUCUUCAUGUUGCAUGCUAGUAUCGUCGAAUUCAUAUGUUCAUGCUAUGCUCAUGUUGUUCUAGCUGUAUCAUGUUCAUGUUGCGCAAGUCAUGUUGUUACGAGGAUCUCAUGUUAAUUCCUCCUUAACCUGUAAAUGCCAUGCUGAUGUUUGUCUUGAAUGCUUCUGGUUAAUGUGAGCUUGCAAGUACAUUCAAUGUACUGACCUGGCAUGUCAUGCCAGCUUGCAGGUCGUGCCUGGAUUUCUUGCUUGUUUGGUGUUGUUCCUGUGUUUGCGAGCUAGGAUAAGCAUUCCAGCCAGAGUCCCUGCGGAGUGGAGUUCACCACCGUCGUCGUUGUUCCGCCGCCAGUAGUUGUUGCGCUGCCUCAACUUGCUAUGCUGCUUGCAUAGAGCAACUGAGGAUGGCGUAGUGUCGUCGUGCCGAUGUUAUUCAUUGUAAUAUCGGAGACCUUGUAUUCAUAUUCGUGUAUUAAUAGAAAGCUGGUUUGUUCUAUGCUAAGCAGUGCCGUAUUCCAGAAGACUUCACCUCGAUCUCUAGGCUGGAAUACGGGGCGUUCCGGUUUUCUCUGAGCCGGGGUGCCACAGGCUUGGUAUCAGAGCAGGUCUGGCUGUAGGAUGCCCUAGCCCGCCCGAACGUUAGAAAGCGGUAGUAUAGACCCCAGUUGGUUUGUUGCAUUUGUUUGUCGCAUAGCAUGUAUAUAGAUUAUUAUUUUGUCACUAACGGUUGAUCUUGUGAGUGUAGGCGGCAUCGUUUUCGGUCCACCGCCUGCACCCUCCUUCUUAGCAUGCCUGCUCUUCGGUGUGAUUCGACCACAUCAUCAUCCAUUGCCCUCCAUCUCGUUCUUUUGGCAACCCUUGCUGAUCUUUGUUAUCAGAAAAGGGUAAUGCCAUUAAACCCCGUCUUCCACUGUUAUCUUGCCUUGUCAUUUCAUUCUUUGGACGGGUACGAUUCCCUUCGUACGCUUGAUGAUGAGGUGGUCGUGACUUUUGUGUCUCGCUACUUGAUCGUCAAGUCCGUCCUCACCUGUGUAUCCAUCCAGAUCCAGCCACUGUUCAGCCAGUGCUUGGUGUAGCUUCGGUUACGCCAACUCCUUCCACACAUGGAUAUAAUUUUCGUGCACACCGCCACAGCAUAUUAGACCGUAGUACCGGAGUUUCCAUGUGAUUAGUGUGCUUAGGUGUGCAUGCAUAUUAUGGUGUGAGUAGCAGUAAUAUGUGAAGAUUGCUUGAUUAAUUAUAUUAGUAGUAUGCUUGUGUGCUUUUGUUUUAGUUAUAUCUUUUGUUUGUUUCUUUGGGCCUUUGGUGUUACAAAUUUUCCCCUAUUAAAGUUGCUCGUCAGCCGACACCGGACCCGAAGAGUCAGCAAGAAAUGCAUAUAUUUGGAAACUCGGUUAAACAAGAAUGGAAUUGUCAGCAGACUGCAGUGAAAUUGGAAAUAGCUCGUCUGAAUACAAAAGAAAUCCUGGAUGGAAUGUCAGUAUAAAGUUUGCAUUAACAUGCACUCCUCACAACAGUAUGGAAUUCUCAGCCGACUGCAUUCAGAUUGGGGGAUAUCUGGUCAUGUUACUGAGUGUCAAGUCUCCCUCAGCGUGUACUCCUCAUAGCACAAAUGAUCAAAUCAGCAAGAAGAUAAAUUGUGUGCAUGGUUGAUAAAAUAUUAUCAAAGGUAUGGCUCAGAUACAAGUUUAAUUUUUCGUUGAGGAUCAUUUUGGAACCCGAUGUACCUGGAAGCAAGCAAAAAUAUGGCAUGUACUCAGAAAGGAGGAUAGUCCUGCAAAACCCCGUUUCAUACAAGAAAUCAAGAACAAAAAUUUUAAGAUGGUUAUAUAUGUGGAAAUCGGUUCGCAUAUCACAAUAAGAAGCUUCUGGUGUAAGAAACCCAAUCUUCCCUCGCAAGAUACCCGAGAAGCUUCCAAGGCAAGAUUCAUCUAUCUUCCUCAGUACGAUACAUGGAUGAUUUCCCGUACAAGGUACUCUGCCUUCUUCAGUAAGCUACCGCAAAAGCUUCCGGCAUAAGGUACCGAGUCUUUCCCCAGCAAAGUCUUUAAGGGGGUAAGCUUCUGAAGCACGAUACCCAGUCUUCUUCAGCAAGCUGUCCGAUGAAAGUUUCGAGCACAAACCAGCCAAUCUUCCUCAGUAAGACAUUGGUACAAGGUAGUAUGAUGUGAAUUGAUAGCAUAUGGCAGUGAAUCCCAAGAAUCAGAUCCGCAACAUUUAGGUCAGAAGCAAGAAUCAGUCAGAAUACAUGUCUGUCUCGGGAAUCAGAUUCUCAUAUAUAUGCGGUGAGCAUACCAGCAAGAUCUUACAAGUCACUCAGAUGAGGAUAUGACAACCACGUGAGGAUGGUUAAGAGAAGAAAGCCAGUAUACACCGCAGUGUGACAAAGGAUUAUGAGGAUUGACGACAUCAAUGGCUCAAUGCAAGUACCUGUGAACCUGGAAAAUGAUCCUGAUGAGCCCUUGUCCCCUUUUUUCUCCAAUGAUGGCACCAUGCCUGUGAUCUAAGCUGUUUUUAGCUAUCCGGGGUGGAUGCCGAUUUUUUAUUUCUCUCUUCAACGACUGUCACGAGUUCUGAGCUGCUUUUCGGCCGUCUCAUACAGCUGUUGAGUUUCUUUUUGUGACAGUAGCCCUAUAGCUGCUUUUUGGCUAUUUUAGGGAGCUGCCACCUUCUUCUUAUCAACCCGAUCUCAUGUUCUGAGCUGCUUUUCGGCCGUCCUGCGCCAUGGUUGAGUUAUUUCAGUAAUGUCCCAGAUCUGAGUGGUAAAGACCAUUCUGGUGGCUACUGAUUUAUUUGUCGAUUUCUUGCAAAGGUUUGGAUGAUCAUUUUCCUGCGGUCAGAAUUUGAGGGGUGUUGAACCUGCCAUUUAAUGGGGUACCCUGUCAGAAAAAUGAGGAUAAGCUGCGAUUGCCGAAAAAUUGCACUGACAGUACCUAUGGUGAUACGAAGAAGCAAUAUGACCCAGCUCUUUCAGCCAAGGAUCCUGGCCAAGAAAACAAUAAUGAAGGAGCAAGACCAGUGAUGCAGGUAUGAAAAUUGUUGCAAGACCCGCGUGGUGCAGAACCACCGUCAGUCAAGUCUACAGAUAUUAUCAUACAAGUCAAACUCUUAUGCUAGCCACGACAGGCGACAAUCAAAUAUUUGGUACGGAUCCGAUACUCAAGACAGUGGAACCAGUUAAGAUGAUUCAGAAACUUCCGCGAUAAGCCAGAAUUUGUCAGGAAAGCGGUUAUGACCCAACUCGCUGUUUGGAACCCGAAGGACCUGCAUUUAGUGGAGAAACCCAAUGCAAGGAUUUAGAGCUUGGGUGUCCACUAGAAAAAAUCUGAUCACCACUUCAUGAAAGAUUGUCAAUGCCGGAUGACACACCCAGCAGAAAUCACUCUUGGAUUUGUGAAACCGACGUAUAUUUCAGUCGUGAGAAUCCAUCACAGUCAGCUAAGUCAGCAGAUCUAAAAAGAAAUUGGAGCCUGUAUAAGCAUGAACAAGCAAGGUAAGAUCUGUCAGAAUAUGGAUAUAUUAAAGCAAACCACCCCAGGACCAGUCAGAUAAAAAUUUAGGGGGGACAAAAAUAAGAAAAAGGAUACCCGAGUUGGAAACGGUUUCCUUAAGUCAGUAUCUUCAUACUUGUUCCCUGAGCAACCAAAUCUCGAGGACGAGAUUUCUUUAAGGGGGUAAGGUUUGUAACAGCCUGAUUUUUGGCCCUUUCUUUUUCUUUUGUUUUUCUGAGGUUUUUGCUUGAGUUUUCUUUUUCCGUGGCUUUGUGGUCUGGAAACUGAACAAGAUGCCCUCUUGUUUAUUUCCAGAGUGGCUUGUCAUUCCCAAAUCCUUCCCUAGACCCCGUCAUUUUCAUCCUAGCCCAAAUCCCAAUAUUCUUUUCAUUGGGAAUAUUCCUUUUCUACUAAAGGAAUAACUCAAGUUGCCCUAGGUUGUGAAGCAACCUUUACUUCCAUCACUCCUAAAAUUCCCAAAUAAUUCUCAUAAAUUUUUUGGGUCAUAUCUUUCCCAAAUAUGGUAAAAUAUUUCAUUUGUCAUGUUUAUCAUCAUGCUCAAAUAAUUCAUUUCCUAUUCUACCCUAAAUGGCACAUUGUGAAGCAAGUGCUAUUUUCCUUUUCCCAAGUGACCUCAAACUCCUUGGACACCUUUUCCUGUCCAUAUCAUUGCCACAUGCCAAAAUUCAACCUCAUUUGGCUAGUAAUUAUUUAAUUAUGAUUUUCCAAAGUUUCUAUCCAGAAAGAAGCUUUGUGAAGGAGGUGCAAUCUAGGCAUAUCCAAAUGAGUUUCCAUUUUGCAUGAUCCCUCAUAUCAUCAUAUCAUAGCCCACCACCAAAGUAGAGCUCAUGUCAUGCCUCCAUGUGAGCUCAUCUUCAAUUCUUUGAUUUUGUCCAAACUUUCAGCUUGUGAAGCAAGUAUAUUUUAUCUUGCUCCAUUAUGGCUGCCAAUUUUUCUAGGCCUUCUGUUAUCCAUAUAACCUACCUCCACCCAUUUUGGGCAUCUCUCAUCAAGCCAUUAUUUCUCUAGAAUGUUUCCAAGAUUCUGCACAGAAAUGAUGUUUGUAAAGAAAGUACCAUUUUAGAUGGUCCAUUUGGUAUGAGCUUUUUACAGCAUCUUUAUAUUUCCAUAUCAUGAGGAUUUGCCAAGUUGCAUCCCAUUCCAUAACUCCAUGUGAGUGCAUCAUCCAAAUCAAGUUUCUGGACCAAAAAUGCAGUUGCAAAGCAACCCUAUUAUUUAUUGGUCCAUUUCUUCUCUAAAUCUCCAGUAUUGUAGUUCUUCCUUAGUUAAACCUCCCAGACAACUCCUUUGACCUCAAUCAAGUCUCUGUGGAUUAGCAGUGCUCGUCCAAGUUUACUGCAGUAAACUUCAGAGCUUGAUUACCAUUUAACCAGAGAGAUUUUAACCAAACUACCACCGCAGUAGGAACCUCCCCUGGAUGAACUUGCCACUAGACAACACGCUCCAGCUCAUUUCCCCCGCUACAUGCCAGUGCACGCGGUGACCGCGUUAAUGGCAAGCCUGUGCGCGCGCUCUGCUACAAUUGGCCACACCGAGGAUGGAUUCUUGCUCGGGCCCCUCCUCCUCUCAUCGUCUUAGCACGCGUGAGCAUGUCCCUUGGCUUCACCUCGUCGUCGCCGAUCACAUGGACCCCGCUCCCCCUCAGGCAGCUUCCUCACCGACGAAAGCCGCAGCGUGCCCACGGGCGCACAGUGGCGUUUGGCUCGGUUCAUCGCCGUCGCCUUCCUCCCUGCGCUCCGUUGGCCUCCUCUGCCCCGUGAGACACUCCACUGCUCCUCCCCCGUCGUCUACCAGCGAGCUCAUGCGCGUGCACACGCGUCCGCGGCACCGGACACGCGUCCGCGGCGGCGCCAGCGCGACACUCCCUCGCCCGGCUAUAUAUAGCCAUCCCCGCGGCCUCCCGAGCACCUCAUCAGCCUCGCCUCACUCCCAGCUUCCUCCUCGUCCACUAGCCCGAGCUCGAGCAGCUCUCCUCGACCCCCAUCGCCGCCAUGCCCGCCGCUCUGCUCAGCUCAAAUUCGAGCUGGGCAGUGCCCCUCCCCCUCUCUUUCCACCACCAGUAGACUCCUCCUCCACCUAGACUUCGCCCCCGUGCUCUCCCUCCCCUCCGGUGGCCUUCUGCCAUGAGCUCGCCGCCGACCGAAGAUCGCCGUCCGCCGCGGCUGGCCUCCCGCUCAGCCGAGCCCUACCCCGCGGCUGCAUCUUGCCUGGAUGGAUCCGCCUCGUCGCGCUGAUCAUGCCGGUAGGUCGCACGCCGCGAGAGGUGGCCGGAGUGGCCGGGAAUCCGCGUCGGGCCGUCGGUCUCGUCUCUACAUCGCGGGCGAGCGGGAGGAGGAAGAAGGAGCCAGGCCAGGCGGGCCCCAUCUCCACGCGGCCCCACCUGUCGGCGGGCAGGCGUUGACCCCGCCUGCCUAGCUGGAUAAGUGAUGGGCCCCACAGCCCGUGGGACCCGCACGUCAGCGACCCCACGCCCGGCCCCGCCACUGUCCACGUGGAUAAGUGGAAGCGUACUUCGCAGAAGUACGUUUUCGCCUUCAGAAAGCGUAUUUCUCUUCUGCUCUAGUCGUAAGUGCGCUUUCAUAGUUUGAAAACUAUUUUCUUCUUAGGCGCCUUCUGUUUUCUCACUCAGGGGCCUGUUUGUAGAGAUUCUUUUACAAAUCGGUCCCUGAACUUCGUCGGGCUAUAUCUUUUUACUCCCAACUCCAAAUGAGGUGAUUCCAAAGCCCAUUUCUUUGUCUCGUCGAGCCCGUUAUGUUGGUUUCAUUUUCACUAUGGUUUGACACUGUGAAAAUGACCCUUUUUUCCCUUGCCCGUAAACAGCCCCUCCGAGAGAGAACUGUUUCCGGCAAAUCUUUCCGCGAGCUUCUCGCACUUCUUCCCUGUGUUUUCUUCAUCCCCAGGCAAGCCACAAUACCCACUUGCAUGAUAGUCAUGCAGUAGCCAUGGUUUUCAACUUGAAUAUUUAUUAAAUGAUUGCUUGUUUAAAAUAUGGUUAUCGUUGUUUUGGUAAUGCUUCUGGGUUAGUGCUUACUUGCUUGAUAUGUUGUUAUGCACCUGGUUAUCAUGCCCUGCUAGUUGCUAGUAUUACUUUCAUAUUUCCAUGCUUGAUAGUAGUACAUGUUGGGUUGGUCAUGUUCUUCGGUGCAUGAUUAACGUCGGUUAUCGAGUACUGUUAAUAUGCGUUCUUCCUUUGCUGUUAGUUGGUUAAGUGUUACUCGGUAAUGUUAUUGAUGAGUUCUUGCAUGGUAUUUAUGGUUGAUGCUAGUGGUCAUGUUUUACUAUGAGUAGUGUUGCACUUGUAAUAGUUAUGCUCGUCAUUAUGCCAUGUUCAGUUGGAGAUUAUUCAUAGUUGAUAUGGUGGAUCGUUAUGUUGUACCCUCAUGCUUAUGUUGAUCUCAUGCUCAUGCUUUGUAUAUGCAUCAUGUUAUUUUAUCAUGGCUCAGCAUAUUGCAUUCAAGUUUAACCAGAUUAAGUUCAACUUGAACAACUGUUGGCUGAGUCAUGGUGCCACCAUAUCGAAACUGACCAGUGCAACCACGCUUACCUUAUGGGAAGGUCCUAACUGGGUCUAUUGUCGUGCCUCUCGCCGGUGCCUCCAACGAGGGAAGGUUAUGGGCGCGCGCUACCCUGAUCAGGUAGGCGGACAUAACCUUGUGUGCCCGUUGUUGUUAUUAUGGAUCCGGUCCCCGUGAGGGACGUUUUGGCCACGACAGUGGUCGUUGUGUCUUUGGUAGAUACGGGGCCACCCAGGACUAGCCCAGUUGGGAGUGGGUCGGAGUGGCCGGGAGAGUGUCAUGGCAAUAGAUCGGUUUUGUCGGAAUGCCGUUGGUCCACCCGAAUGGGAGUGCGAGGCCAUGGGUUCCGUGGUGUGGGUACAGUGUACUAACCUCUGCAGAGUGUAUAUUAAAUCUAUCGAUAGCCGCGCCCGCGGAUAAGGGCCCAGUUCGUGUCGGUCACACCGUGAGUCAACAGUAUUAAUAAUAACUUGAUUAAUGACAACCCCGGUUCGAUGAUGAGAUAAGUUGGUUGUGAUCGCCGGAAAGAUCACCGUUUGAGACCAAGUGUUGGUCAUGGUUGUGAUCGCCGAAAUGAUCACCGUGGUAUCGAGGAUACCGAGUUGUUGGAUAUUCGUGAUGUUGUGCGAGAAUCAUGGGUAAAGAUCAAGCUCCUUGUGGUCAUUUAAUGAUUACUACGGUAUUGUUGAUACCAAGCUUGAUUUGAUCCUGAGAUGAUUGUGUGAUGUCC
rnacentral:lncRNA from 1 species